AACGCUGACCACACGUGUUGCU
rnacentral:tRNA from 1 species